GCACAAGCGGUGGAUGAUGUGGUUUAAUUCGAUGCAACGCGAAAACCUUACCACCUUUGACAUGUACGGAAUCCUUAGAGAUAGAGGAGUGCUCGAAAGAGAGCCGUAACACAGGUGCUGCAUGGCUGUCGUCAGCUCGUGUCGUGAGAUGUUGGGUUAAGUCCCGCAACGAGCGCAACCCUUGUCAUUAGUUGCUACAUUCAGUUGGGCACUCUAAUGAGACUGCCGGUGACAAACCGGAGGAAGGUGGGGAUGACGUCAAGUCCUCAUGGCCCUUAUAGGUGGGGCUACACACGUCAUACAAUGGAUGGUACAAAGGGUCGCCAACCCGCGAGGGGGAGCCAAUCCCAUAAAGCCAUUCGUAGUCCGGAUCGCAGUCUGCAACUCGACUGCGUGAAGUCGGAAUCGCUAGUAAUCGUGGAUCAGAAUGUCACGGUGAAUACGUUCCCGGGUCUU
rnacentral:rRNA from 1 species